rnacentral:lncRNA from 1 species
UUCCUCCCUCAUAUUUUUAUUCUCCUAAUUCCUGACACUUUUACCAAAACCUUCAAAAUAACCCACAAGUAAUAAUUUUACAAUACAUAUAAUCAAGAGAAUAAAUUCAUUAUUUUUUCUCCACUUAACCAUAGAUCUUAAAAAUCGUGUAACCAUCAACACCUACGGUCAGUCUUUGAUCACUCUUCACCGAGAAGGCUUCUUCACAGCCAACACUUCACCAUAUCAUCACCCCACCAAAAAGAACUUGCUAUAGGAAACCAACAAAACGACCAUCAUCACCAAAAACUUCACCCAAAACUUUUUAAAAUUUUGCUACCGAAAAAUUUAGCGAUCUUCUUCCACUAUUUUUAUUUUUUUCUUUACAAGGGAUCAUCAUCAAAAGUUGGGGAAUAAGGAUGUGGGAAAGAAAUUUUUUCAAAAAUUACUGUCAAUUUGGCGGUAAUAUCGGAUCUGUGGUGGUGAGCGAUAUUUCUAGUGGAUAAAGAGGUACUAGAGGAGGGCUAUAUAGUAAUGAGUUUUGGGUUAAAAUAAAGGAAGGUAAGAAGCAAAAUGCAAGAAGCACAAAGGAAGAAGGA